CUGCACUUGAUACUAACCUAGAUAUGCAUGCCCAAGUUUGCACUCAGACUUGUGCAUAUUCCAUGGUAUCUGGGUCUCUUAAGUGCCAUAUUAAUUAAGUCAUAAGCAUUUAAGCUCAUUGUGUGAAGUUGCACACUGGGUUAUAACUUGUGGCACAGAU